ensembl:lncRNA
GUUUGGAGUGUCAUGAGUGUAAUUUAACAAUGACAGGAUUUUUUAUGUUUGUGUGAACUGUUCCUUUAAGUGUGGCAUUGUGUUUAUUCUCAAGGCUUAUUUUCUUUAUCCACUAAUGACAGAACAGUGGGUUAUUGUCUGUUUUUUCCUCCCUUAGCCAUGAAGUGUCAACAAACUACUUCCAAGCAGCCAUUAAAAGGCAUUGGCGCCUUUAUAAAUAAUUCAACCACUUGACUGGAUGCUAAAUGAAUGGAGAUGAUACGGACAGAAGGUUUUGGUUUCCAGGGAGUCCUUGAGGAGGAGGGAGUGUUUGGAGGGUUAAAAUCACCUCCUCAAAACAACACCCACCCCAACACAGACAAAGAGAGAGGCUUAACACCAACCCAGCCGAUCUUCCCUCCUCUUUCUCUUCCUCUUCCUCAGACUCGACAUGGUCAUUGAAGCAGGGGUCGUAGAGGCCAAAAUCCAAAGGAAAUCGAGCCCAGUGAGGAAGAGAAGGUGAUAAAGGACUUGAGUGCAAUAGGAAACCCGUCAAAAUAACAGGACUAUGAAGAUGGCAGGUGAGAAUUUUGUGAUGACACAGUCCUGUUGCUCUCAAAUUCUCAAAUUUCAGUAUUAUUUGAGACUGACUGUCAUGUCCAUUAUUUCCCAGGCUGUAAAUACCUUCACCUUCACCAAGAAUGUGCUCUGGAGCAUUAAUGAACACAGGAACGUAGAUGACUGAAAGGUUGAAAUAACUUGACAGUUUGCCAGCCCUUAAAGUUAGCAUGAACUCUCUGCCUGCACAAAAGCAGGCCCGUGUUGUUAAAAACACCUUUUUACUUGCGAAAUUCUGAAUCGCUUGAAGCUUAAUGUAAGACAAGUUGCACAGAGCUAUCUGUGCAUUUGUAUGUGUUAGAAGAAAAACAUGUGGCCUAUAGAGCACACAUGAUCCUUAGAGGAAGGUGAGGAGACGUUUUGAAUAGUUCCUGACCAGAUGGAUGUUCUUAGGGUCAUCUGGACAUGUGAGAGUUGAUGGACCAUGAAUCCUCUUGUGCCAA